rnacentral:rRNA from 1 species
GACGAACGUUGGCGGCGUGCUUAACACAUGCAAGUCGAACGGAAAGGCCCUGCUUUUGUGGGGUGCUCGAGUGGCGAACGGGUGAGUAACACGUGAGUAACCUGCCCUUGACUUUGGGAUAACUUCAGGAAACUGGGGCUAAUACCGGAUAGGAGCUCCUGCUGCAUGGUGGGGGUUGGAAAGUUUCGGCGGUUGGGGAUGGACUCGCGGCUUAUCAGCUUGUUGGUGGGGUAGUGGCUUACCAAGGCUUUGACGGGUAGCCGGCCUGAGAGGGUGACCGGCCACAUUGGGACUGAGAUACGGCCCAGACUCCUACGGGAGGCAGCAGUGGGGAAUAUUGCACAAUGGGCGGAAGCCUGAUGCAGCAACGCCGCGUGCGGGAUGACGGCCUUCGGGUUGUAAACCGCUUUCGCCUGUGACGAAGCGUGAGUGACGGUAAUGGGUAAAGAAGCACCGGCUAACUACGUGCCAGCAGCCGCGGUGAUACGUAGGGUGCGAGCGUUGUCCGGAUUUAUUGGGCGUAAAGGGCUCGUAGGUGGUUGAUCGCGUCGGAAGUGUAAUCUUGGGGCUUAACCCUGAGCGUGCUUUCGAUACGGGUUGACUUGAGGAAGGUAGGGGAGAAUGGAAUUCCUGGUGGAGCGGUGGAAUGCGCAGAUAUCAGGAGGAACACCAGUGGCGAAGGCGGUUCUCUGGGCCUUUCCUGACGCUGAGGAGCGAAAGCGUGGGGAGCGAACAGGCUUAGAUACCCUGGUAGUCCACGCUGUAAACGGUGGGUACUAGGUGUGGGGUCCAUUCCACGGGUUCCGUGCCGUAGCUAACGCUUUAAGUACCCCGCCUGGGGAGUACGGCCGCAAGGCUAAAACUCAAAGGAAUUGACGGGGCCCCGCACAAGCGGCGGAGCAUGCGGAUUAAUUCGAUGCAACGCGUAGAACCUUACCUGGGUUUGACAUGGAUCGGGAGUGCUCAGAGAUGGGUGUGCCUCUUUUGGGGUCGGUUCACAGGUGGUGCAUGCCUGUCGUCAGCUCGUGUCGUGAGAUGUUGGGUUAAGUCCCGCAACGAGCGCAACCCUUGUUCACUGUUGCCAGCACGUUAUGGUGGGGACUCAGUGGAGACCGCCGGGGUCAACUCGGAGGAAGGUGGGGAUGACGUCAAGUCAUCAUGCCCCUUAUGUCCAGGGCUUCACGCAUGCUACAAUGGCUGGUACAGAGAGUGGCGAGCCUGUGAGGGUGAGCGAAUCUCGGAAAGCCGGUCUCAGUUCGGAUUGGGGUCUGCAACUCGACCUCAUGAAGUCGGAGUCGCUAGUAAUCGCAAAUCAGCAACGCUGCGGUGAAUACGUUCCCGGG